AUUAUUAAAGUUCCAACGGUAAAAGAUGAGUAUGCGUCCCAUUAGCUAGAUGGUAAGGUAACGGCUUACCAUGGCAAUGAUGGGUAGGGGUCCUGAGAGGGAGAUCCCCCACACUGGUACUGAGACACGGACCAGACUCCUACGGGAGGCAGCAGUGGGGAAUAUUGGACAAUGGGCGAAAGCCUGAUCCAGCAAUGCCGCGUGAGUGAUGAAGGCCUUAGGGUUGUAAAGCUCUUUUACCAGGGAUGAUAAUGACAGUACCUGGAGAAUAAGCUCCGGCUAACUCCGUG
rnacentral:rRNA from 1 species